rnacentral:lncRNA from 1 species
CUACUUAAAAAUAUAAAAAUACUAGUUGUUGAUCCGCGCGCAUACUAGUUGUUGAUCCGCGCUGCGCGCGGGAGGUUUAUAAUUUAUAUUAUGAUUUUUUUAAUGUUUUUGUUUGUUUUUUAUUGUUGUCAUUUUUGUUAUUUUAUUUUCAUAUGAAUUUUUUUUUUCAAUUUUGUAUUAGUUUAGUACUUAAAAUGUUUAUUGUUAUUUGCUAUUCGCCAGAGGUCGAGGACAAGUUUCUGCGAUAAUGUUUCCGGUGUGUGGUUUUGAUCUAUUCCAUGAUAGAUGUUCUGGGAUCUGACUUGUUUUUGGUUUCUUCCUAUGCUUAAAUAUGUGUACUCUGGCUAAUGGUUUCAAAAUUGG